UGUUGCUGUAUUGAUUUAUUAGGGUUAAUUAUUCUAAAACAAAAGAGCAAAGGGGAACAGUUUGAUUUAUUAGGGUUAAUUAUUCAAAAACAAAAGAGCAAAGGGGAACAGUUUGAUUUAUUAGGGUUAAUUAUUCUAAAACAAAAAGAGCAAAGGGGAACAGUUUGAUUUAUUAGGGUUAAUUAUUCUAAAACAAAAGAGCAAAGGGGAACAGUUUGAUUUAUUAGGGUUAAUUAUUCUAAAACAAAAAGAGCAAAGGGGAACAGUUUGAUUUAUUAGGGUUAAUUAUUCUAAAACAAAAGAGCAAAGGGGAACAGUUUGAUUUAUUAGGGUUAAUUAUUCUAAAACAAAAGAGCAAAGGGGAACAGUUUGAUUUAUUAGGGUUAAUUAUUCUAAAACAAAAGAGCAAAGGGGAACAGUUUGAUUUAUUAGGGUUAAUUAUUCUAAAACAAAAAGAGCAAAGGGGAACAGUUUGAUUUAUUAGGGUUAAUUAUUCUAAAACAAAAGAGCAAAGGGGAACAGUUUGAUUUAUUAGGGUUAAUUAUUCUAAAACAAAAGAGCAAAGGGGAACAGUUUGAUUUAUUAGGGUUAAUUAUUCUAAAACAAAAGAGCAAAGGGGAACAGUUUGAUUUAUUAGGGUUAAUUAUUCUAAAACAAAAGAGCAAAGGGGAACAGUUUGAUUUAUUAGGGUUAAUUAUUCUAAAACAAAAGAGCAAAGGGGAACAGUUUGAUUUAUUAGGGUUAAUUAUUCUAAAACAAAAGAGCAAAGGGGAACAGUUUGAUUUAUUAGGGUUAAUUAUUCUAAAACAAAAAGAGCAAAGGGGAACAGUUUGAUUUAUUAGGGUUAAUUAUUCUAAAACAAAAGAGCAAAGGGGAACAGUUUGAUUUAUUAGGGUUAAUUAUUCUAAAACAAAAAGAGCAAAGGGGAACAGUUUGAUUUAUUAGGGUUAAUUAUUCUAAAACAAAAAGAGCAAAGGGGAACAGUUUGAUUUAUUAGGGUUAAUUAUUCUAAAACAAAAGAGCAAAGGGGAACAGUUUGAUUUAUUAGGUUAAUUAUUCUAAAACAAAAGAGCAAAGGGGAACAGUUUGAUUUAUUAGGGUUAAUUAUUCUAAAACAAAAGAGCAAAGGGGAACAGUUUGAUUUAUUAGGGUUAAUUAUUCUAAAACAAAAAGAGCAAAGGGGAACAGUUUGAUUUAUUAGGAAAAACAAAGACAAGUAGAACAAUGAGGUAACACUUCCAGAGAAGAUGACACUUAUGAAAGAUCGAAGCAAAACAGAGAUAAUCUACUAGUUCAAAUGACAAACAAUAUGGAGUGUCAUUGGUCUUCGACAGUAUACAUUUUCUU